rnacentral:rRNA from 1 species
AUUGAACGCUGGCGGCAGGCCUAACACAUGCAAGUCGAGCGGAUGAGGGUAGCUUGCUAUCUGAUUCAGCGGCGGACGGGUGAGUAAUGCCUAGGAAUCUGCCUGGUAGUGGGGGACAACGUUUCGAAAGGAACGCUAAUACCGCAUACGUCCUACGGGAGAAAGUGGGGGAUCUUCGGACCUCACGCUAUCAGAUGAGCCUAGGUACGAGUUAGCUAGUUGGUGAGGUAAAGGCACACCAAGGCGACGAGCGUUAACUGGUCUGAGAGGAUGAGCAGUCACACUGGAACUGAGAAACGGGCCAGACUCCUACGGGAGGCAGCAGUGGGGAAUAUUGGACAAUGGGCGAAAGCCUGAUCCAGCCAUGCCGCGUGUGUGAAGAAGGUCUUCGGAUUGUAAAGCACUUUAAGUUGGGAGGAAGGGCAGUAAGUUAAUACCUUGCUGUUUUGACGUUACCGACAGAAUAAGCACCGGCUAACUUCGUGCCAGCCGCCGCGGUAACAC